rnacentral:rRNA from 1 species
UGGGGAAUAUUGCRCAAUGGGSGAAAGCCUGAUGCAGCGACGCCGCGUGAGGGAUGACGGCCUUCGGGUUGUAAACCUCUUUCAGCUCUGACGAAGCCUUCGGGUGACGGUAGGAGCAGAAGAAGCACCGGCUAACUACGUGCCAGCAGCCGCGGUAAUACGUAGGGUGCGAGCGUUGUCCGGAAUUAUUGGGCGUAAAGAGCUUGUAGGCGGUUUGUCGCGUCUGCUGUGAAAGCCCGGGGCUUAACCCCGGGUCUGCAGUGGGUACGGGCAGGCUAGAGUGUGGUAGGGGAGACUGGAAUUCCUGGUGUAGCGGUGGAAUGCGCAGAUAUCAGGAGGAACACCGAUGGCGAAGGCAGGUCUCUGGGCCACUACUGACGCUGAGAAGCGAAAGCGUGGGGAGCGAACAGGAUUAGAUACCCUGGUAGUCCACGCCGUAAACGUUGGGCGCUAGGUGUGGGUCCCAUUCCACGGGGUCCGUGCCGCAGCUAACGCAUUAAGCGCCCCGCCUGGGGGAGUACGG